GGUUUGUGAGCAAGUUAAUUGCUCGAUUGAUUGUUUGGGAUUUUGAUACUUAGAUGAAAGUAGCUAGACUUAUAGCUUCUAUUCAGGUAAUCAUGAUUAUAAUCCUACAUAUGCCUAAUAAGUUGUAUGCAUAAUAUUAUAGAGCUCAACACUUAAUAACAAACCAUUAGGCUUUCGCUUUCUAGGUUUGUCUAUUGACCAGUGUCGAUCGAUGAUUCUAUAGGAAUAUCGAUCGAUACACUUGUUGCAACGUCGACCGAUUAUUCGAUUGGAAUAUCGAUCGACGCUUUUGGUCAAGCGCUAAUGCGCGGAUUGAAUAUGCUCACUAAGCUUGCUAGAUCAGCUCUUGCCUUACUCUAGCAAUCUUAGCUCAGUUAGGAUGGAUUCAGGGUGAGAUGCAAGCUAUCACUUAUGUCUAUAAUUCCUACGGCAAGUUCUAGGUAGCUAAUCUAGAAACAUGCAUUAAUGACAAUCCUAAAGAUGAAUAUCAUAAUUUAGCAAUCUAUAGUUGGAGCUAAUCCCUUAUAACUUAUUUAAUCCCUAACUCUAACAAAGAGAACUACCCAGAUAUGGCUAAGCAAUUCAUAACAACAAUAAGGUAUAAAAACUGCAUAGAUAAAUAUAUAGAUAUCAAUGGAGUUCCAAUCGCAAAUCUUUUUGAAUCUUCUUUCAAUCUACUAAAGAUCCUAGAAAACUUUUGCUGUGAAAUCGGUAAAAGAAGAAAGAAUACUUUGCCUCUAACAUGUUGUCAAAAUUGGAAUUCUCUUAAUUCAUUAAGAGUAAAGAGUGCAUUGGAUUGAGCACAGUAUGUGAGAUUAAAUUUUGGGCGAUAAGAAUAUAUUAUAUUUUGACCCAAAAACUAGGUAGAUGAGGCAGAGGAGUAUGAGUAGGAAGGGAGAGAGAGAGGUAAGGGAUAAUGAGAAUAAAUGAAUAAGGAAAAAAAAGAACAAUUUGUGAUGACUAAAGGUGAGUCACAAUUACGUACCAAAUAGAAACUUAUUUUCCGUCACCGUAACCAAUUUUUGAUGAUACGUACAGUCACAAUACCGUCACGACCGUUACAUUUAUUACUAUAGUAAAAAUUACGUCUGUAGUUGUGACUAAAUAUAGCAACGACUUACAUCGUCACAAUAUAGUGACGAAACAACUACAAAAUUAAGACGAAAAACACAGUCACAACUACGUAUUAAAAACGUCACUAAAUUGUGACCAAGACAGUUCGUCUCAAGAUGUAGUCACAAUAUAUCCUUUUUUUGUAGUGAGAGGUGAGUGAGGAAGAACAAAAUGAGGAGUAAGAAGAGGAAGAAGUGGAGAAAGGGGUGGGGAAGAAUAAAAGGUGGAAGAGAAUAUGAGAGAAGGGUGACGAAGAGGAGUAGAAGAAGAAUAUGUUGUAUCAUAGUAUAGUGUAUCAUUAAAAUAAAAUAGUAUAUUGUAUUUACAAUAUACUCAAACUGAUUACAUAUUGGUUGUUCGACAAAAAUAAAAAGAAAAUAUAUUUGGAAGGCUCGUAAUGAUAAGCUUUUCAGGGGUAUAGACAGAGACCCUUUGGAACUCGUUCGAUACGCAGAGAGUGAAUGUCAAGCCUGGUUUAACGCGAAUGAGACGAUACCGCCACACGUCCAGGCUACCAAUAAUGUUGCAAACCAAGUCUUAAGCUUGGGUAAUAUCUGUCUACUAGAUGGAUCUUGGACAGCUUCUGACCGCUUUAGUGGAUGUGGAUGGGUCUGGAUGGAUAGUAGGGAGGACAUACAACUUAUGGGAACACGAAACUUCACUCAAUGCGAAUCAGCGCUGCAUUCGGAGGUAGAAGCGCUGCGAUGGGCGAUGGAGAACAUGCUUCAACACUCGCCGUGCCAGAGCUUUGGAACUGACUGCAUGGAGCUGAUUGCAAUGAUAAAUGAACCCCAGGAGUGGCCAAGAUUUGCGACAGAGCUGGAGAAGAUAGAGACGCUGCUGAUUUGUUUUCCCGAUUUCAAAAUCACCCAUGUACCACGAGUGCGCAAUCAGCUUCCUGAUUUUUUAGCUAAGACUGCUAGGAGCUUUCGUAGAGAGUUACUUUUCAUUGGUUGUUCUAUUCCGGUCUGGUUACCCAGACCACCUCAAGCCUGAGUAAUAGAAUGGCCGUUCGACGUCAAAAAAAAAAAAAAAAAAAAAAAAAGAAAAUAUAUAAAUUAUGAGAGAAAAUCUAGAAUUUAAGGGAACUCUAGACACGUCAACUCAUAUCAAUGACAUAAAAUUAUUUAUACUAAUAUGAAGUUUGAUUUCUAGUUAACAUGUAUAAGUCGGGAAAUAUAGAAUAGAUUCACAAUAUACAUAGCACUGUUCAUCUUCUUCAUCAACUCAGUGUCUGAUUUUUAUAUUGCUUUUCCUCCAUCUCAUGCCAAUUCAGAACAAUUAACCACAAUCUAACUCUCUUAUUCUUGUCUUGCAAUUUUCGCUGAUUCGUCGUCGGAAUACAAUCAUUAACACAUUUGUUUCCAUCAAUGCAGUUUUCGUCAUCACUGAAGCGGAAUCAUAGGAUGGAGAAAAAAAGGUAGGAUUGAGUUGUAGAAUAGAAGAAGAAGAAAACGUAAGUUAGGAUGAGUGCAUUUGGAUUUCAAAGACAGAAGAAGAAUUAAUACAUAUUAUUCACACUAUAUUAUAACCAUUAAUUUCUUAUAGUUAGUUUGUUAAUUAUAGCUUUUAUGGUUAUUAUUGCCAAUUUUUUUUAUAAUGAAACCCAUUAAAAUAAAAAAAUACAAUGAUUAAGAAAAUAAACCCAACAAAAAAUCUAAAUACAAUGCCAACAAAAAACCCAAACACAAGUCCAACAAGAGUCCAAGAACCUAAACCUAGCCACACAUAGUGGGUGG